ensembl:snoRNA SNORA70 Small nucleolar RNA SNORA70
CUGCAGCCAAUUAAGCCGACUGUCCUCUUUCUCCAUGGGGGCCCAGUGUGCAAUGGCUGCAAACAGUAGCCUCCUUGGUAGUGUAUGCAGCCUGUUGAUGUAUGGGUUGCCCUAAGGGACCUUGGAGACAGCC